rnacentral:rRNA from 1 species
GACGAACCGUGCGAACGUUAUUCGGAAUCACUGGGCUUAAAGCGCGUGUAGGCGGGAGGACACGUCCGUUGCUGAAAUCCCCCGGCUCAACCGGGGAACGGGCGCGGAUACGACCUUCCUGGAGGGGCGUAGGGGGACCUGGAACUUCCGGUGGAGCGGUGAAAUGCGUUGAGAUCGGAAGGAACGCCCGUGGCGAAAGCGAGGUCCUGGACGCCUACUGACGCUGAGACGCGAAAGCCAGGGGAGCGAACGGG